rnacentral:rRNA from 1 species
GCUGGCGGCAGGCCUAACACAUGCAAGUCGAGCGCGCCUUCGGGCGAGCGGCGGACGGGUUAGUAACGCGUGGGAACGUGCCCAGAUCUACGGAAUAGCCACUGGAAACGGUGAGUAAUACCGUAUACGCCCUUCGGGGGAAAGAUUUAUCGGAUUUGGAUCGGCCCGCGUUAGAUUAGGUAGUUGGUGGGGUAACGGCCUACCAAGCCUACGAUCUAUAGCUGGUUUUAGAGGAUGAUCAGCAACACUGGGACUGAGACACGGCCCAGACUCCUACGGGAGGCAGCAGUGGGGAAUCUUGGACAAUGGGGGCAACCCUGAUCCAGCCAUGCCGCGUGAGUGAAGAAGGCCCUAGGGUCGUAAAACUCUUUCGCCUGUGAUGAUAAUGACAGUAGCAGGUAAAGAAACCCCGGCUAACUCCGUGCCAGCAGCCGCGGUAAUACGGAGGGGGUUAGCGUUGUUCGGAAUUACUGGGCGUAAAGCGCACGUAGGCGGAUUAGAAAGUUAGAGGUGAAAUCCCGGGGCUCAACCCCGGAACUGCCUUUAAAACUACUAGUCUAGA